UACGUAGGGGGCAAGCGUUGUCCGGAUUUAUUGGGCGUAAAGAGCGUGUAGGCGGCCAGAUAGGUCUGUUGUGAAAACUCGAGGCUCAACCUCGAGACGCCGAUGGAAACCAUCUGGCUAGAGUCCGGAAGAGGAGAGUGGAAUUCCUGGUGUAGCGGUGAAAUGCGCAGAUAUCAGGAAGAACACCCGUGGCUAAGGCGGCUCUCUAGUACGGUACUGACGCUGAGACGCGAAAAGCUGGGGGAGCGAACAGG
rnacentral:rRNA from 1 species